UGUUAUAAGUAUGUGUAAUAUAGUGUUUUUUAUUAUUUGAAUCAUAGCACGACUUAUAACUACUUAAUUCAGGCUUAUGAAAUAAUAUAAAUACUUUUCAUUUUUUACUAUUAUUUAUUUUUAUAUAAAUUUCAAAGAAAGAAUAACUAUCACAAAAGUGACCAACUAAAAAGUAGUUUGAAGGGUUUACCGACAAGAGUUUAGGGAAGCGCUACAAAGUAACCGAUGAUGGAAUAAACUAAGCAAAACUCGGAUAGGGCUGGACUGGUCAUGUUUUAACUAGGAAACCUGGUAGUGGUGCCAAAGUACCUGGAUUAGAAAGCAUGAGAUCAUGAUUCCUAGACGAAGACCACGGCAGAGUCCUUGUGGCCAAGAAUUAACCGACAGACAGACGCAGAUCAUCGACGCUAUCAAGAAAGAAUUCAACAUCAACAACAACUUUCAACAUAAAUUUCUAGUUUUUUAUUAAGUUAUUUAUAUUCUAAUUCUAAUUAAAUUUUCGGCAAACAGAAUGUUUUACUAAAUUUCGUGUGUAACAUAAUAUUA